UCGAGGGGCCUGAUCCAGAGCCCACUGAAGUCAAUGGGAGUCUUUGUGGUGAAUUCAGUGGGCUCUGGAUCAGGCCCUUGGAGA
rnacentral:pre_miRNA from 1 species